CCUUUCUUCCAGCUACCUUCUCUCUCUCCUCCUUUUGGACAAUGUUGCACUCUUGCUUAUCCGGAUGUUCUGAGCUCUGGUACAAGAGCCUGUUGAGAUAUUUGGUUCUCUUCUUACUACACAAUGAGCAUCGAGCCUCUCUCUCUCGGGUUCUCUGGGUUGAAGUGGUCCAAAUCAUCUGCCAUCCGUUCAGUUCUCCUCCUCCUCAUCCUUUGAGCAUCGAGCCUUUGUCUCUCGCGUUCUCUGGGUUGCGGUGGUCCGGAUCAUCUGCCAUACCUUUGGCUCUCCUCCUCCUCCUCUUCCGUUGUAAGAUUUCUUCUUCUUCCUUUCCGGUGAGGUGCAAUCUUCGCUGUGAGUUUUCUCUGAGAGGUACGAUCUUGUCAUCCGUUUGGUUCUUCUCCUCCUCUUUCGUUGUAAGUCUUCUCCUUCCUUUCAGCUUAGGAGCAGUCUUUGUUGUGAGUUUUCUCGGUAAGUUAUAUCCUAGGAUUGGUAUUUCUUCCCUUCUACUUGCGCUAUGUUUGGUUUGGUGGUUCCGGUUUCUGGUCUACAGGUGUUUGCUAUUGGCCUGUGUUCCUGAAGGCCCCUGUGGUGUGUGCCUCAGACGCAAGAAAAAAACAUAUCCCUCUUUCUAUUCUGUCUGGAACCAUACGUGGUUGUGCGUUUUUUGACACGUGAUGUUCUGGUCUUUGGGGUGUUGCGUUUUUUUGUCUUGUGUUUUCCCAAAAAACUGUCGUCUAUGCGUAAAAAAAUAGACUCUGUUGUAACAAAUGCCUCUCCGCCGCUUCUCCUCUCCGCCCCUUUCCUCACCCAAAUGAUACGACCAGUGGAGGCUGUAGCGAUGAGCCUCCUCGCUCUUAGCUUCUUUUUUUUUUUUUUGGUCAAUUUGCAACUUCCUUAUUUUUUUGUCAAUUUGCAGCUUCCUUAUUUGUGUCAGUUUGCAGCUUUGUUAGGCGAUGGCGAUUGGAGAAGUUGGUAUUGAAAUUCUUCAGUGUGUGUUGUGGGCAUCAUUUCUAACUCAAAGUUUGAGAUUUUUGGUAGACCUUUGCAUAGAUUCUGGGUUAGAAAGUCUUUUAUUUUAUCCUAUUUACUUUUCUGAUCAAAUUAAUUUUUUUAUGUUGUUGUUGUGCCGUAUUUUUCUUACCCUUUUCAGAUCGAGUGAUUUUUUUGGUGAUGUUGUUCUUCAUCUUUAAAAAAAAAUCUACACGAAACUGUUUAUCAACAUAAUCCAGGUCAAUUUUGAUGUUGUUUCUUUCUAUCAAUAAAGAAAGAUAGACAUCUUGGAUUCUCUGUUCAGCCAAUUCGGGCAUUUCAUCUGACCCGUUUCAUUAUUCAGCUACAGUAAACUACCUGAGGUUUAUUCCCUGUAAGAGUUUCCACUCUGGCAGAUGUUUGCAAUCAGCAAAGAGCACAAACUCUCGUCCUUUAUUGCCUCCAAAAAACACCUCUAAUUCCUGGAGACCUUAUAUAGUUCAUGGUACUGUUUUGGGUGGAGUUGGUGGUCUCGCAUUUUUUCUUCACUACAAUGACGAGAAGAGGGCUAUCCUUAAAGAUUUUAUUACUUUGACGUGGUAAUCACUUAGAAGUCUGAAACUGAAGUUCUUCUCCUGCAUUUUAUGAAAUACUUGCCAAAAGAUUUGUAUAGCUCCCUCGGUGUUAGUAUUGCAAUUGUAAUUGUUGACCAAAAAAGGUAUACAUUUGUUUGUGUGUGAAAGAGAGAGACAGAUAGAGUGUGUGUCUGAAAAAGAGAGAGAGGGACAGAUUGUGUAUGUUCUCUCUCUCUGUCUCUCACUAUUGGUUGUUUACCCAUCUUUUGCACGGUGUACAACAUAUUCACACACACUCUCUCUCAUAGUUUAUCUCUUCUAUUUGCAUAGUUGCAUAAUCACAAUAUUUGAACUCGAUUUGACUCAUUGCUAA